CAGUAGCCGCGGGAAUACGAAGGGGGCUAGCGUUGUUCGGAAUUACUGGGCGUAAAGCGCACGUAGGCUGACAUUUAAGUCAGGGGUGAAAUCCCGGGGCUCAACCUCGGAACUGCCUUUGAUACUGGGUGUCUUGAGUGUGGAAGAGGUAAGUGGAAUUGCGAGUGUAGAGGUGAAAUUCGUAGAUAUUCGCAGGAACACCAGUGGCGAAGGCGGCUUACUGGUCCACAACUGACGCUGAGGUGCGAAAGCGUGGGGAGCAAACAGGAUUAGAUACCCCUGUAGUCCCUGUCUCUUAUAU
rnacentral:rRNA from 1 species